rnacentral:misc_RNA from 1 species
GUUUCUUGGCGUUGGUGUUAGUUUUAUAAUUUGAUGUAAUAUGGGUAACUUGCACAUCUGCUUACAAAACCCUAGUGAGCUUCCAUAAGUGCUCAUGACACAAUCAUCAAAAUCAUAGUAAAAAAGUUACUGCAAUAAAGCAUGGUAUGUCUAAAUCAUUUCCUAAUCCUAAAAAACUGCAGCAUUUCUGUAGUGCUGUUCAACUUUAUCCAUUUUUUUAUUGUCGUAAAACUUUCCUCUCUCUCUCUCUCUAGCUGCUAAUCUCCUUUCUAAUUAACACUUAGUUGUGUAUUGGGGGCUUUCUCUUUGCUGGAGAAUAGUCCAUAAUGUCCACAUAGUGAUCAUCGUGGUUCACCUCCGGGUGUUCAGAAGCUGGCGAAGAAUUAAUGGUGAAUUUCUCUUGUUCCCCACCUACUUCUUCAUUGCUUGAUCUGCCCUUUGAUGUCAUUGGGUUAGCUUUAUUUUCUUCUACAUUUUCCUCAUUCUUGGAGGUGGUGGUGGCGGGAGAAGGAGUAGAGGUGGUCACAGUAGUAAGUUUUCUAUUCAUUCCUGCAACCAUAGAUAUCAGAAACAAUUUAGGAUAAUGAAAAGUUGGAGUGUGGAGUAACAAAUCUUGAAAUUUUGAUUUGUGAAUUUCUAUUCAAGAAAAUUUAAAGAAUUAAUAAUAUAGUUUUGAUCAACUUCUUGGGGGACAAAAAUUGUUUUGUUUUGGUGCAUGAUCAAGGGUUAAAAGCUUGUAAAACCCAGCAGCUAGCUCCUAUGUCAGACUUCCAAAAAUAUUAGUUGCUAAUUAGAAACAUGAACUGCAAGUAAUCAAUAUCAUCCUAGCUAGCUAGAUUGAGAACUGAGAAACUAAUGGUGUUUAGGUUUGUGACUCCUAGGUCCACAGUAAUCUUCAUGAAUUCUUGGUAAUGGGUGGGGUGGUGAUGAUUUCUUGGAUACUGCAGAGACUCUUUUCUUCAAGGUACCUGUACAAUGCCCUUCUUUGCAGAGAAUAACCUCUCCAAAAGCACCAUUACUUCUUUUUAUCAAAGAACUCUUGUCCUCCUGCAUAUAACAAUAACCAUUUUCCCAUUAAAAUUUGAAGAAAAAUGAAAGGGAAAACACUCAUUUGGAUAGUUCUAGCUAUGUAUAUAUAUACAAAGCAUGAAGAAACUGAAUACCCACAUGGAUCUUUUGAUGCCCAACUUGCAUAAAUUCCUUUUCCAAACGAAUCCCUUGAGCAUCAUGGAGAAGAAAGGACAAAAGCAGAAGAGAGACUAUUAAAGCAGGCCUCAUUUGGAGAAAAUAUUUGAGAAGAAAGAGGAGUGAUAAAGGGGAAUAAGAAUUAGCAGUUCUUGGUACAAUUAAGGUCAGGAAAAGAAUGUGGGUUUCUCUUAAAUUUUGGCUACUCUUUAAAAAUUGAAUCUGAUAGGAGCUAUAGUGAAU